GACGUAGGGCGCGAGCGUUUGUCCGGAUUUAUUGGGCGUAAAGAGCUCGUAGGCGGUUCGGCAAGUCGGAUGUGAAAUCUCCACGCUCAACGUGGAGGGCCAUUCGAUACUGCCGUGACUCGAGUCCGGUAGGGGAGUGUGGAAUUCCUGGUGUAGCGGUGGAAUGCGCAGAUAUCAGGAGGAACACCGGUGGCGAAGGCGGGUCUCUGGGCAGUAACUGACGCUGAGGAGCGAAAGCGUGGGGAGCGAACAGG
rnacentral:rRNA from 1 species